UUGGCGAACGGGUGAGUAACGCGUGAGUAACCUGCCCUGGAGUGGGGGGACGAACAGUUGGAAACGACUGCUAAUACCGCAUAAGCCCACGAUCCGGCAUCGGAUUGAGGGAAAAGGAUUUAUUCGCUUCAGGAUGGACUCGCGUCCAAUUAGCUGGUUGGUGAGGUAACGGCCCACCAAGGCGACGAUUGGUAGCCGGACUGAGAGGUUGAACGGCCACAUUGGGACUGAGACACGGCCCAG
rnacentral:rRNA from 1 species